rnacentral:rRNA from 1 species
CUGACGCAGCGACGCCGCGUGAGCGAAGAAGGCCUUCGGGUUGUAAAGCUCAGUCAAUCGGGAAGAGCGGAUGGUGGAGGGAAUGCCGCCAUCGAGACGGUACCGAUAGAGGAAGCCCCGGCUAACUACGUGCCAGCAGCCGCGGUAAUACGUAGGGGGCAAGCGUUGUCCGGAAUCACUGGGCGUAAAGCGUGCGUAGGCGGUGACGCAAGUCUGGAGUGAAAGACCAGGGCUCAACCCUGGGGGUGNUUUGGAAACUGCGUGACUUGAGUGCUGGAGAGGCAAGGGGAAUUCCACGUGUAGCGGUGAAAUGCGUAGAUAUGUGGAGGAAUACCAGUGGCGAAGGCGCCUUGCUGGACAGUGACUGACGCUGAGGCACGAAAGCGUGGGGAGCAAACAGGAUUAGAUACCCUGGUAGUCCACGCCGUAAACGAUGAGUGCUAGGUGUUGGGGGGUACCACCCUCAGUGCCGAAGGAAACCCAAUAAGCACUCCGCCUGGGGAGUACGGUCGCAAGACUGAAACUCAAAGGAAUUGACGGGGGCCCGCACAAGCAGUGGAGCAUGUGGUUUAAUUCGAAGCAACGCGAAGAACCUUACCAGGGCUUGACAUCCCUCUGACGCCGGUAGAGAUAUCGGUUCCCUUCGGGGCAGAGGAGACAGGUGGUGCAUGGUUGUCGUCAGCUCGUGUCGUGAGAUGUUGGGUUAAGUCCCGCAACGAGCGCAACCCUUGACCUGUGUUACCAGCACGUAGAGGUGGGGACUCACAGGUGACUGCCGGCGCAAGUCGGAGGAAGGCGGGGAUGACGUCAAAUCAUCAUGCCCUUUAUGUCCUGGGCUACACACGUGCUACAAUGGGCGGUACAACGGGAAGCGAGGCCGCGAGGCGGAGCGAAUCCCACAAAGCCGUUCGUAGUUCGGAUUGCAGGCUGCAACUCGCCUGCAUGAAGCCGGAAUUGCUAGUAAUCGCGGAUCAGCAUGCCGCGGUGAAUCCGUUCCCGGGCCUUGUACACACCGCCCGUCACACCAUGGGAGUGGGCAACACCCAAAGUCGGUGAGGCAACCCUUCGGGGAGCCAGCCGCCUAAGGUGGGGUCGAUGACUGGGGUGAAGUCGUAACAAGGUAGCCGUA